GACGUAGGGCGCGAGCGUUGUCCGGAUUUAUUGGGCGUAAAGAGCUCGUAGGCGGCUCGUUGCGUCGGCUGUGAAAACCCGCAGCUCAACUGCUGGGCUUGCGGCUGAUACGGGCGGAGCUGGGAUUCGGUAGGGGAGACUGGAAUUCCUGGUGUAGCGGUGAAAUGCGCAGAUAUCAGGAGGAACACCGGUGGCGAAGGCGGGUCUCUGGGCCGAUACUGACGCUGGAGGAGCGAAAGCGUGGGGGAGCAAACAGG
rnacentral:rRNA from 1 species